UACGUAGGUGGCGAGCGUUGUUCGGAAUUACUGGGCGUAAAGGGCGCGUAGGCGGCCCGCUAAGUCGAACGUGAAAUCCCCGAGCUCAACUCGGGAACUGCGUCCGAUACUGGUGGGCUUGAAUCCGGGAGAGGGAUGCGGAAUUCCAGGUGUAGCGGUGAAAUGCGUAGAUAUCUGGAGGAACACCGGUGGCGAAGGCGGCAUCCUGGACCAAUACUGACGCUGAGGAGCGAAAGCCAGGGGAGCAAACGGG
rnacentral:rRNA from 1 species